ACAGAGACGUCGAGCGUUGUUCGGAUUCAUUGGGCGUAAGGGGUGCGUAGGCGGUGAGGUAAGUCGGAUGUGAAAUCCCAGAGCUUAACUCUGGAAGUGCAUCCGAAACUGCCUUGCUCGAGGACUGGAGGGGAGACUGGAAUUCUCGGUGUAGCGGUGAAAUGCGUAGAUAUCGAGAGGAACGCCUGUGGCGAAGGCGGGUCUCUGGACAGUUCCUGACGCUGAGGCACGAAAGCUAGGGUAGCAAACGGGA
rnacentral:rRNA from 1 species